GUAGUAGCAAAUACUCAAGCGAGGACCUUGAGGACUGAUGUGGAGAAGGGUUUCGUGUGAACAGCCGUUGCACACGAGUCAGUCGAACCUAAGCCCUAGGAGAAAUCCGAUGUAUGGGGACGCUGGUCCCUGAGGGCGAAAGGGAAUCCGGUUCCUAUUCCGGAACCCGGCCGCGGAACCGUUCAAGUCGGGCCAUUUCCCUUCACGGGAAGCUCGUCGGGGUAACCCAAACAAACCCGGAGACGCCGUCGGGAGAUCGGGGAAGAGUUUUCUUUUCUGUAUGAGCGUUCGAGUUCCCUGGAAUUCUCUAGCAGAGAGAUAGGGUUUGGAACGCGAAGAGCACCGCAGUUGCGGCGGUGUCCCGAUUUUCCCCUCGGACCUUGAAAAUCCGGGAGAGGGCCACGUGGAGGUGUCGCGCCGGAUCGUACCCAUAUCCGCAGCAGGUCUCCGAGGUGAAGAGCCUCUAGUCGAUAGACUAAUGUAGGUAAGGGAAGUCGGCAAAUUGGAUCCGUAACUUCGGAAUAAGGAU
rnacentral:rRNA from 1 species